GACGAACGCUGGCGGCGUGCUUAACACAUGCAAGUCGAACGGAAAGGCCCUGCUUUUGUGGGGUGCUCGAGUGGCGAACGGGUGAGUAACACGUGAGUAACCUGCCCUUGACUUUGGGAUAACUUCAGGAAACUGGGGCUAAUACCGGAUAGGAGCUCCUGCUGCUUGGUGGGGGUUGGAAAGUUUCGGCGGUUGGGGAUGGACUCGCGGCUUAUCGGCUUGUUGGUGGGGUAGUGGCUUACCAAGGCUUUGACGGGUAGCCGGCCUGAGAGGGGGACCGGCCACAUGGGGCCUGCGAUACGGCCCAGACUCCUACGGGAGGCAGCAGUGGGGAAUAUUGCACAAUGGGCGGAAGCCUGAUGCAGCAACGCCGCGUGCGGGAUGACGGCCUUCGGGUUGUAAACCGCUUUCGCCUGUGACGAAGCGUGAGUGACGGUAAUGGGUAAAGAAGCACCGGCUAACUACGUG
rnacentral:rRNA from 1 species